rnacentral:rRNA from 1 species
UACGUAGGGGGCUAGCGUUGUCCGGAAUCAUUGGGCGUAAAGCGCGCGUAGGCGGCCAGAUAAGUCCGGUGUGAAAGUCAAAGGCUCAACCUUUGAAUGCCGCUGGAAACUGUCUGGCUUGAGUCCGGGAGGGGCGAGUGGAAUUCCUGGUGUAGCGGUGAAAUGCGCAGAUAUCAGGAAGAACACCAAUGGCGAAAGCAGCUCUCUGGGACGGUACUGACGCUGAGACGCGAAAGCGUGGGGAGCGAACAGG